rnacentral:rRNA from 1 species
CUGAAUAACUACGCUGAUCGCACGGUCUCGUACUGGCGACGUAUCCUUCAAGUGUCUGCCUUAUCAACUUUCGAUGGUAGUCUAUAAGCCUACCAUGGUUGUAACGGGUAACGGAGAAUAAGGGUUCGACUCCGGAAAGGGAGCCUGAGAAACGGCUACCACUUCCAAGGAAGGCAGCAGGCGCGCAAAUUACCCACUCUCAGAACGAGGAGGUAGUGACGAAAAAUAACGAGACAGUUCUCUAUGAGGUCUGUCAUCGGAAUGGGUACAAUCUAAACCCUUUAACGAGGAUCUAUUGGAGGGCAAGUCUGGUGCCAGCAGCCGCGGUAAUUCCAGCUCCAAUAGCGUAUAUUAAAGUUGUUGCGGUUAAAAAG